rnacentral:rRNA from 1 species
AUACGUAGGUCCCGAACGUUGCGCGAAAUUACUGGGCGUAAAGGGUCCGUAGGCGGUCUGGUAAGUGGAAGGUGAAAGCCUGGGGCUCAACUCCAGAAUUGCCUUCCAAACUGCCGGACUUGAGGCAGGGAGAGGUCGGCGGAAUUCCUGGUGUAGCGGUGAAAUGCGUAGAUAUCGGGAGGAACACCAGUGGCGAAGGCGGCCGACUGGAACUGUCCUGACGCUGAGGGACGAAAGCCAGGGGAGCGAACCGGAUUAGAAACCCUAGUAGUCC